GACGAACGCUGGCGGCGUGCUUAACACAUGCAAGUCGAACGGAAAGGCCCUGCUUUUGUGGGGUGCUCGAGUGGCGAACGGGUGAGUGACACGUGAGUAACCUGCCCUUGACUUUGGGAUAACUUCAGGAAACUGGGGCUAAUACCGGAUAGGAGCUCCUGCUGCAUGGUGGGGGUUGGAAAGUUUCGGCGGUUGGGGAUGGACUCGCGGCUUAUCAGCUUGUUGGUGGGGUAGUGGCUUACCAAGGCUUUGACGGGUAGCCGGCCUGAGAGGGUGACCGGCCACAUUGGGACUGAGAUACGGCCCAGACUCCUACGGGAGGCAGCAGUGGGGAAUAUUGCACAAUGGGCGGAAGCCUGAUGCAGCAACGCCGCGUGCGGGAUGACGGCCUUCGGGUUGUAAACCGCUUUCGCCUGUGACGAAGCGUGAGUGACGGUAAUGGGUAAAGAAGCACCGGCUAACUACGUGCCAGCAGCCGCAGUAACAC
rnacentral:rRNA from 1 species